GCGUCGGUGGGGUAUUGGAAACCCAUAGUCUGACAGUUCUGCUGUCCCAACUGAUUGAAAGACCGAGUUCGGGGUUCGACUCCCCGCCGAUGCA